rnacentral:ncRNA from 1 species
AAUAAUUAAUAUAAUUACCUGUAUAUUUUUGAUAAUAUGGAUCAAACGUUUCUACCAAGCUGCCGUAAAUUGCUUGACUACAGGAGUUUAUA